AACCAGUUCUGCAAGACACACAAAGGUCAAAGGUCGUAGAUCUGACACAGAUAUAGAAGUGAUAGAAGCAACCUUGUUGUUGUCGGCGUCUCUGAAGGACAGGGCAAAGUAGUCCCGCUCCAGCAGGUUGACGUGCUCGCAGACCUUCUCGAACAGCUGAAGACCGCGAGCUCGUUUCUGCAACAACGACAAUGAAGUCUUUGACUUGUUAAUGGGCUCAUUGUACAUGGGCUCAUUGUUCAUGUGCUCAUUGUUCAUGUUCUCACAGUGCAUGUGUUCACGCGUCUACUAGCGGUCUCACCUCCACAGUGCACGUAAACAGAGAGCCGUCCAGCAGGGUGACUUUGGCCUGCAUAGUUCUGAAGUUCAGAGCGUUCCUGACCGGGGAGGGAGCGACACGACUGCCCGGGGACAGGUUCCCUUGUUACCUGAAUGGGUGUGGAAUGGGCGGCGGCUUCAGGGAGAGACUCCGCCUCCUGCGGCUCGCUCUGCUCUGUCGUCAUGGCGAUGAGUUGACCUUAAAGUAGAAUUUGGACUGAACUGGCUGUCGAUCCUUUGACCCGGCCAGCUGUCAUGUGAGGGUUGCCGUGGUAACAGUAGAGCCAGAGAGAGAGAGA